CUAGAUGCUUAGGGGACGAAGCAGAAAACCACAGUUUAUUUAUUUACAUGAAAAUGGAAACUUUGUCUUUUCUUUUUACCGAAGUGAGGAAAAGAAGGAAAGGAAGAAGAAAGAAAGAAAGAAAAUAGGAUGUGUCAAAACUGUAGUAUGUUCCCCUCCGCAUCUACAGCACGCAGAGUUGUUACGUGAGGGCUCCGGGGUUGGCAAACGGCAGAGAUACACAUUUUGCACCCACGGGAAAAGAAAGGGGGGCAAUGGGGGGAGAGCAGAGCAAACGCACCGCGUCAGCAGCGCGCUGCUGGGAACGAGCCGAGCCUCUGACGUCACGUAACCCCCAUUCACAUCAACCGGCCCCGAAGUGUGACGCUCAGUGUCCGGAGCCUUCGGACAGAACCACCCGCACCCCUCAGCCCAGCGGGGGCCGAAGUUGGGGCAGCUCUGUUGUCGGUGUAUUUCGGGGGGAGGGGGGGGGGGAUGAAUGGGUUUAAUCGGAAGGAUAAAUGUUGUAUCAGCUAAGGUUGGCCCCCACCCUCCUUCGUCACCGAAGGGCUGGGAUGCAGCACUUUUAAUUAGAAAUUAAUUAAUGAGCAGCUGCUUCUUCCCACCCCACAGUAAUAAUUAGUCUCAAUUACAAACAAGACAUAUGAAGGGACACACGACUGAGUCUUCAUUUAAGAUUUAAUCAACAGUUAAAAUUAGCGCUAACGCUGCCAAUAAAGCCCGUGACAUACGGCCUGCGUUCUUUUUCCAGCCUCUCUUCCCGACGUGUGAUUACAGCUGGAAGACUGCCUCCCAGAAACGAAUCUGCCCACACUGACAGCUCGAUUGAGGGUGAUUGAUGACUAUCUGGAGACCACAGUACACAUAAUAUAAUAUCUGCUGCGUAAUUGCUUUAAUUUACAGAUGAAAAUAGUACUUCUCGCACGGAGUUAGACUACGGCGCGCGGCUCUUUAUGGCGCUUUGGAGUGUUUGCAAAUAAAGGCUAUCAGAUGCAGCA